GACGAACGCUGGCGGCGUGCUUAACACAUGCAAGUCGAACGGAAAGGCCCUGCUUUUGUGGGGUUCUCGAGGGGCGAACGGGUGAGUAACACGUGAGUAACCUGCCCUUGACUUUGGGAUAACUUCAGGAAACUGGGGCUAAUACCGUAUAGGAGCUCCUGCUGCAGGGUGGGGGUUGGAAAUUUGCGGCGGUUGGGGAUGGACGGGCGGCUUAUCAGCUAGUUGGUGGGGGAGGGGCUUACCAAGGCUGUGACGGAUAGGCGGCAUGAGAGGGUGACCGGGCACAUGGGGCCUGCGAUACGGCCCAGACUCCAACGGGAGGCAGCAGUGGGGAAUAUUGCACAAUGGGCGGAAGCCUGAUGAAGAAACGCUGCGUGCGGGAUGACGGCUUGCGGGUUGUAAACCGCUUUAGCCUGUGACGAAGCGUGAGUGACGGUAAUGGGUAAAGAAGCACCGGCUAACUACGUG
rnacentral:rRNA from 1 species